AUUGAACGCUGGCGGCAGGCCUAACACAUGCAAGUCGAGUGGAUGAGGGAAGCUUGCUUCCCGAUUUAGCGGCGGACGGGUGAGUAAUGCCUAGGCAUCUGCCUAUUAGUGGGGGCUAACGUUCCGAAAGGAACGCUAAUACCGCAUACGUCCUACGGGAGAAAGUGGGGGAUCUUCGGACCUCACGCUAAUAGAUGAGCCUGUGUCGUAUUAGCUAUUUGGGGGGGUAACGGCUCACCAAGGCGACGAUCCGUAGCUGGUCUGAGAGGAUGGCAGGCGACAGUGAAACGGAGAAACGGUCCAGCGUCUUACGUGUGGCAGCACGUGGGAAUAUUGGACAAUGGGCGCAGGCCUGAUCCAGCCAGGUCGCGUGGGUGAAGAAGGUCUUCGCAUUGUAAAGCACUUUAACUUCGGAGGAAGGGGUGUAAGCGAAUUUCUUGCAGCUGCAACGUUACCCACUGGAUAAGCACCGGCUACCUGCGUGCCAGCCGCCGCCGUAACAC
rnacentral:rRNA from 1 species